ACGGGAGGCAGCAGUGGGGGAUAUUGCACAAUGGGGGAAACCCUGAUGCAGCGACGCCGCGUGAGUGAUGAAGUAUUUCGGUAUGUAAAGCUCUAUCAGCAGGGAAGAUAAUGACGGUACCUGACUAAGAAGCACCGGCUAAAUACGUGCCAGCAGCCGCGGUAAUACGUAUGGUGCAAGCGUUAUCCGGAUUUACUGGGUGUAAAGGGAGCGUAGACGGCAAGGCAAGCCAGAUGUGAAAGGCUGGGGCUUAACCCCGGGACUGCAUUUGGAACUGUCUAGCUAGAGUAUCGGAGAGGUAAGUGGAACUCCUAGUGUAGCGGUGAAAUGCGUAGAUAUUAGGAGGAACACCAGUGGCGAAGGCGGCUUACUGGACGAUAACUGACGUUGAGGCUCGAAAGCGUGGGGAGCAAACAGGAUUAGAUACCCUGGUA
rnacentral:rRNA from 1 species